GCGCCCCUUCACACCUCUGCGGUGGGGACGGAGCUGCCGAGACAAGCAGAGUGCGAACUGGAGAAAGCCCAGAGCUCAGAGCUCCCAGGAGCCCACCGUGCCCCACGGCUAGGCGGUCUCCUGGUGUGGACGGCUAGCGGUGUCAUUACUUCUUACAAAAGUUUAUUUUUGAAAGCUUCUCCCUUCCUUCCUUCUUCCCUUCCUUUCUUUUCUUCCUUUUUUCUUUGUUUUGAGUCAGGUUCUCACUCUGUCGCCCAGGCAGGAGCGCAGUGGCGCUAUCUCAGCUCACGGAGCCUCCACCUAUUGGGCUCAAGCGAUCCUCCCACCUCAGCCUCCCGAGUAGCUGGGACCACAGUCGCACGCCACCACGUCCGGCUAAUUAUUUUUUUUCGUUUUUCGUAGAGAGGGAGUGUCGUUAUGCUGCCCAGGCUGGUUUCAAACUCCUGGCCUCAAGCGAUCCUCCCACCUCCGGCUUCCCAAAGUGCUGGGAUUCGGGGUGUUAGCCACUGUCCCGGACUACUUCUUUUUUAUCCUGUCAGAAAAACUAUCCAUGUUCAUCGAGGAACACUUGGAAAACCCAGAAAAAAACUGAAAAAAGAAGAUAAUCACUCACAACCCCACUCAGCCCAUCACACUCUAAAAGUUUUGACACAUUUUCCUCCCAACUUUUACUGAAUUUAAACAGAUAAAAAUGUACAUAUAUGGGAUUAUUAUUGGAAAAGAUGAAUGUAGAUACCAACAAGAGAAAAACAGAAAAGACACCAAAUCAGCGUAAAAUUAUGUUCGUUUUCUUCACGAGGCGGCCUCUCCUCCAUACACCUACUUGGUUUUAAUAAAUUUUCUUCCUCAUGGGCUUCCUUGAUGAAAUAUCGUUCCAUCAUUUUUUCCUUCCUCAAAGUGCUUCACACAAUCUUCCUUUUUGCCUUCAACAUGGAGUUUAAGUAAAAUUGUUGUUUUGAAAUCUUCACGGAGUUUAAGUAAAAUUGUUGUUUCAAAAUCUUCUAGGUCACAUGAGGCAUGUUACCAGUGACAAAAAGUUGUUUUGAAAGUGGUGAGAAAAAUCUCAGCCUUAGUGACUGGAAGAGUGGGCAGUGGCCAUCAAGUGAAAACACCAGAGGUGUUUUGAAACCUCUCAGAUUGUAGUCUUUGGAAUAGCUGCCCCUAGAGAUCACGAGUGAUGAAACACUAUCAUUUCAUGCCCCUACCUGAAUGGUUUUGCCAGCGAAAAUACUUCAUAAAAAUGUAUCUGAAAACUGGCAAAGCCCAUACUGUGUGGGCAAGAAUUUCGAUAUCCCGUUGUUCAAGGUUUUAUUGUCAAU
rnacentral:lncRNA from 1 species